rnacentral:rRNA from 1 species
GCGAAGAAGGACGUGGCUACCGGCGAAACGUUUCGGGGAGUUGGAAGUAAGCUUUGAUCCGAAAGUCUCCGAAUGAGGAAACUCAAUAACUUUUGACUGAAUCGAUAAGUCAACAAGAGCGAACCUAGGGAAUUGAAACAUCUUAGUACCUAGAGGAAAAGAAAGUAAAAACGAUUCCCGGAGUAGUGGCGAACGAAAUGGGAUCAGCCUAAACUUUUCUCAAUUUUGAGAAAGGGGUUGUGGGAAAAAAAACCUGUGAAUUUAUAAAAACUUGAAAAAAGUCUUUUGAAAUUAAGUGAAUGAAUUGGAAAAUUCAACCAGAGAAAGUGAUAGUCUUGUAACUGAAAAUUUCUGACAAUUGUUUAUUCCCGAGUAGCAUGAGGCACGUGGAAUCUCGUGUGAAUCUGCGAGGACCACCUCGUAAGGCUAAAUAUUUUGGAUGUCCGAUAGCGCAUAGUACCGCGAGGGAAAGGUGAAAAGAACCCUGGGAAGGGAGUGAAAUAGAACGUGAAAUUGUAAGCUUACAAACAGAAGAAGAACGACUUAGCGUUUGACUUCGUGCCUGUUGAAGAAUGUUCCGGCGACUUAUUAUUAGUGGCGGGUUAAAUUAGAGAUAAUGAAGCCAGAGUGAAAGCGAGCUUGAAUAGAGCGUUUGUCACUAGUAAUAGACCCGAACCCGGUUGAUCUAAUCAUGACCAGAAUGAAACUUAGGUAAAACUAAUUGGAGGUUCGAACCGACUGAUGUUGAAAAAUCAGCGGAUGAGUUGUGAUUAGGGGUGAAAUGCCAAUCGAAAUCGGAGCUAGCUGGUUCUCCCCGAAACGUAUUGAGGUGCGGCGGUUAAUGUUUAAAUGUAGGGGUAAAGCCACUGUUUCGGUGCGGGCUGGUAAUUCGGUACCAAAUCGAGGCAAACUCUGAAUACUACAUGUAUGAUUAACCAGUAAGACUAUGGGGGAUAAGCUUCAUAGUCAAGAGGGAAACAGCCCAGAUCACCAGUUAAGGCCCCAAAAUAUUGGCUAAGUGAUAAAGGAAGUGGAAAGGCUUUGACAACCAGGAGGUUUGCUUAGAAGCAGCAAUCCUUUAAAAAGUGCGUAAUAGCUUACUGGUCUAGCAAUUCUGCGCCGAAAACUUACGGGACUCAAGCCAAUUGCCGAAGCUGUGAGAUAAUUUUUUGAAUUAUCGGUAGGGGAGCGUUCUGCAUUAGAUUGAAGUAUUAACGAAAGUGGGUAUGGACGAAGCAGAAGUGAGAAUGUCGGAUUGAGUAGCGAAAACAUUGGUGAGAAUCCAAUGCUCCGAAAAUCUAAGGUUUCCUCCGGAAGGCUCGUCCACGGAGGGUGAGUCAGGUCCUAAGGUGAGGCUGAAAAGCGUAGUUGAUGGAUAAUGGGUUAAAAUUCCCAUACAGAUUGUGAUUGGUAUCGAGGGACGAAGAAGGCUAAACUAGCCAGGGAUUGGUUACUGGUGAAAAUUCUCAAGGUGUUGAAGAUUAGAGAAAAUAAUCUGAGCCAAGAAAUGAAAACAAGAUUAAAAAAAUCGAAGUAGUUGAUGUCAUACUUCCAAGAAAAGCUCGCUAUGCCAUAAAUUACAAUUUCCUGUACCUAAAACCGACACAGGUAGGUAAGUAGAGAAUACUAAGGAGCGCGGGAGAACCCUCCUUAAGGAACUCGGCAAAAUAACUCUGUAACUUCGGAAGAAAGAGUGCCUUUUAGGCUGCAAUAUCAAGUUCCAAGCAACUGUUUAGCAAAAACACAGGUCCUGGCUAAGUGGUAACACGAUGUAUCAGGGCUGACGCCUGCCCAGUGCUGGAAGGUUAAAGAAGUUGGUUAGCGCAAGCAAAGCUGAUAACUGAAGCCCCAGUGAACGGCGGCCGUAACUAUAACGGUCCUAAGGUAGCGAAAUUCCUUGUCAGGUAAAAUGAACUUGCCUGGUUAAUUUAGUGAUAAAUUAUUGUAAACCAGCUCAUAACGGUGAAGUCUAAAACAUAGAAAAUAUAUGUCAUGAUAAUACCGUGGGAAGACUUAAUCAAAAAGUCCCCGUAACGACUGAUCCGAAAGGUGAGGAAUGUUUUGUAAAAAAAUGUUCAAAAACGCUGGCACUUAACUAUCUUUCUUAAAAAAAGAUACCCCGAGAUAUUAUGGAGGUAUUUUAAAAAUUGAAACGGUAACUUAAAUUUAUAAUAAAAAAUUAAGUAAUAUAAUUUCCAAUUUUUAAAAUUAUGGGAAAUAAAAAGUUUUUAGUAUUUUUUUUAUCUUUUCUUGUUUCUGUAGCUUUUAAUUUUAGAAGUCUAUCAUAUUCAAAUUUACGAUUGCGUUCACCUGACUCUAUAAUAAGGCCUUUAAAUUCUAUUAAUGAUAUAGAUUAUGCAAGUUGGAUUUGUGGCUUUGUAGAUGGAGAAGGUUGUUUCUCCGUUUCUUUUAGUAAACGGGAAUCUUUAAGAACUAAAUUGGAAGUAAAACCUAGUUUUUCCGUUGCUCAAAAAGCUUCUUCAAAAGAGUGUUUGGAACAAAUGCAAAAAUAUUUUCAAUGUGGUGGUAUUCGCUAUAGUAAGUUAGAUGGAUGCUAUAAAUAUGAAGUUAGAUCAUUGAAAGAUCUGAAUGACAAAAUCAUUCCAUUUUUUAAAAAAUAUAAUCUUUUAAUUUUCAAAAGAACUGAUUUUGAAAAGUUUGCAGAGAUAUGUUUAGAAAUGAAAAGAUCAAAUCAUUUGAAUUUUCAUGGUUUAAAGAAAAUAAUUGAAUUAUCUUAUGAUAUGAAUAUUGCUGGAAAACGAAAAUAUUCAUAUGAUCAGAUUAUCAAUAUAGUAACAGAAGGAGAAAAACAAUUAAUCAAAAAAACAAAUAAUAUUGACCACUCCUAACAUGUUUUGUUAAGUUGAAUGUAUAGUCUGAUCAAUAUGGAAACAUAUUGCAUAACAAUAUUGAAGUUCUGACCCGCACGAAUGGCGUAAUGAUUUGGAAGCUGUCUCAAGGAGGGACUCGGUGAAAUAGAACUGGCUGUGAAGAUGCGGCCUACCUGCGCCUGGACAGUAAGACCCUAUGAAGCUUUACUGUAUCCUGAUAUUGAAUUUAGAUUUUAUCUGCGCAGAAUAGGUGGGAGACGGAGAAUCUUUCUUUCGGGAAAUGAGGAGUCAUUAGUGAGAUACCACUCUGGUAAAAUUCAAAUUCUAACUUCAUAUCGUAAUCCGGUUGAAAGACAUUAUCAGGUGGGCAGUUUGACUGGGGCGGUCGCCUACUAAAAGGUAACGUAGGCGUACAAAGGUUUCCUCAGAUCGGUCAGAAAUCGAUCUUAGAGUGCAAAGGCAAAAGGAAGCUUAACUGUGAGACAAACGAGUCGAGCAGAGACGAAAGUCGGUCUUAGUGAUCUGACGAUGCUGUGUGGAAAGGUCGUCACUCAACGGAUAAAAGUUACUCUAGGGAUAACAGGCUGAUCUCCCCCAAGAGUUCCUAUCGACGGGGAGGUUUGGCACCUCGAUGUCGGCUCAUCGCAUCCUGGGGCGGUAGUACGUCCCAAGGGUUGGGCUGUUCGCCCAUUAAAGCGGUACGUGAGCUGGGUUCAGAACGUCGCGAGACAGUUCGGUCCAUAUCCGGCGUGGGCGUUGGAGUAUUGAGAGUGACCUUUCUCUAGUACGAGAGGACCGAGAAAGAUAUACCUCUAGUGUACCAGUUAUCGUGCCAACGGUACAUGCUGGGUAGCUAUGUAUAGUUAGGAUAACCGCUGAAAGCAUCU